UACAGUUCCAAGGAUGUAAGUCCUCCCUUCCCAGCAUCAAAGCAGGAAUGACUCUCCUCCUCCAAGUCCAGUUUGGAAAAUGAGGAGAAGGAGCUGUGAUUGCUCUUGCCUGGGCCAGGGAGAUGCCGGCAUAAUGGAUUAUAAUUGGAGGGAGGUCGUGGUUACAUGAUUGGCCCAGUCUGGGUUACAUACUUGCCUUUUGUCCUGUCAUUUGUGGUGGGAGUCAUGGAGUUGGAGAGAAAAUUGCAGAUUCUUUAAGCCAAAUGUUUGCAAAGGGGAAAGAAGUUCCCAAGAGAAGGGGGUGCUGCCCCAGAGAAAGGAGGGAGGAGUUUUAGGCAGAAAAACAAUCCCUGUUCAUGAUACUAACUUCUACUGAUUUAAAACCAGCUCUUUGGGAAUCCCUUUUUAACCCAAGACAAAUUAUUAUACACCAUUCUCAAGCUCAGUCAUUUUUUAUUACUUCAUCUUAAUCCAACUACAGUUUGGGUUUAAUUUCCUAGUCUAUCCCAUCGAUUGGACUUCUAAGAGUUAACAACAACGUUCUUCUUUCUAAACACCCAAAAAAUAAUUUAAGGAAAAUCAAAUAAUAUUGCUGUGUGUGAAAUAAAAUGGGGACGUUUCAAGCCUACUGCUUAUUCUCCUGAAAUCUCCAACCAACUGAUAUAACAGUUUGGUUUGAAAACCAGUCUUAACAGAUCUCCUGAGUGUACCUGAAUGUGACUGGGUCCCUCAAGACCACCACUGGGACGUCACAGUCAUGCAGAUAUGAUCUCUGAGGUGUAUUCCUGCACUGAAUGACCCCUUAUGUUGCUGUCUUAAGUUCUUGCAUUGGCUUUGUAGAGUUUCCCCACCCGCAACAUGCCUCUCAGAAUGUGAGCUAACACACUCUCAGUGCUUUGCGCAGACCCUGCCCCUUCCUAUCCACUUCCUAUAAGUCGUAAAUCAAUUUAUCAAGCUUGAUAGAGUUGUCUCCAAUAAAUACAUUAAUUAAACAGAAUAAAAGAAUCCUAAUACA